GAUCCCUGCUUAGCAUUCUCCCGCUGUCCCCGGGAUUGCAGCGGGAAACCUCAAUUUGUCUGCUUGCCCUUGUGGGAUGUCUGCUUAAACAUCCUUCAGUGGGAUCUAAGAGGCCUGAUGUGCCCGUGAUUCCAGCCCUGGUAAUUCUGGAUUAUUUCAGGAGAGAUGAUGGUGCCUGGAAGUAAAAUUUGGAUCUCCUGGCUUCCAGAACAGGGUGGUUUUCUUGAGAAGGACAGGUUCCGGAGGCAGCCUGGGAAAACACAACCUGGAGAAUGAGUUGUUUUGGGUGGAGAAUGGCUUUUGCCAGGAUUUAUGUUGCCUUUAUGGAGACACAAGGAAUUCUUCUGACAAUUUAAGUCCCUGC